GCGGAAGUGGCCGUUGCUAGGGCGGAUGUGGGCGUCACUGGUGAAGUUGUUGUGCCAAUGGCGAGUGGAAUGGUUCCUUUAAGGAAAUAACAGUGAGGAAUAGGACCAUGGCUCUCAUGAAGGCAGAGCCUGCCCUUGAUAGAGGAGACCAUCCUGCAACUGAAGAGCAGAAGUCACUGAGUCCUGGUCUACCAGAAUCAAAUGCAAUCUGCAAUUUUCCAGCUCUUGUAGGACUGGGUUCGACGUGUGUUAGACUGAUGCACCAUUUCUGAAUAUCAUGGGGCAAAGAAUAUGAAAUAAUUGUUAAAAAGUGGGAACAAGUUGCAAUUGUGUGAACAAGCCAAAAGAGAAAUUAAGGUGCCCCUGUUAAAUGAAUGAAGUAUUUAAUACGUUGCCAAGGUCCAGACUUGUAAUAAGCAUCUUUCCAGCAGUUGGCCAAAGGGGACAGAAGCAACAGUAAGAAGAAAGAGGAGCAGCAGGAAGUGCAAGCAGCACUCAGGGCACAUAAACUCUCAGGAAUUUUUAUCAUUCCAGCAGCCCCAGAAGAAAAUGAACUGUUUGAACAUUGCUCUGCUUCAGCAGGGAGACUUGUAAUGGGAAAAUGCUUCUGGCACACAGCAUUUGUUACCUGCCUGGGAGUUUCACCAAUUUGCUUGUAGAAUAUACAGUAGCAGACGACCUGUCCUGGUCAACCAACAUCUCUCUCGCCAAGAAGGCACAGCAGCAUCUCCACUUUUUACGGCGGCUGAAGAGAGCCAACCUACAUUGAGAGUGUCCUGACCAGCUGCAUGAUGUUACAGUUACCUGGUACAGUAACUGUAACAUCUCUGACCGUAAGUCUUUGCAGAGAAUUGCGAGUACAGCUGAAAAGAUCAUUGGAGUACCUCUUCCCUCCAUCCUGGAUAUCUACAGCACACGAUGCACACGCAAGAUCUGCAGAAUCAUAGAUGACCCUCCUCAUCUGUCCCAUGACCUAUUUGUCCCACUGCCGUCUGGCAAGCAGUACUGGAGCAUCUGGGCCAGAACUACUAGACCGUACAACAGUUUUUUCUCCCAGGCUGUCAGGCUCCUGAAUACCCUGGAGACAAUUUCAGACAAAUGCCAUGUCAAAAGCCCUGGUUUGCACAAUGGUGUAUAAGAACUUUGGCUGCUGCUGAACAUGUUUAUACAAUUAGUGUAACACACUGAGUUCUGUAUUUUCUUCGUCCAGCUUGGUUUUGCACUAAAUCUGCACUAAAUUGUAUUUUGUAUAUACUGUUUUUUGCACUAUUUGUACUUGCAUAAUUUUUUUUGUCUGCGUUAUUGUAU